UUCAGAUGCAGUUCUAUGGGAUCGAGAGUGCUGCGGAAUGAAUGUAUACUGAUGGACCCGUAUACUGGUGACUCAGCACUUGUGUGGUCCUGCAAGGCUGUUACGAAUUUGAGGACAUCCUGACCUACAUGGUGAGUUCCAGGCCAGAUAGAGCUACAUAGUGUAGCCCUUUCUUGGAAGGAAGAACAGGAGAAAAGGAUGAAGAGGAGGAGGAGGCAGAAGAGGAAGAGGAGGAGACAGUGGCAGUAAUGGCGAACAACAACAACAACAAAACAGCAAAGAGAAAUCCCCAAGCCACGUAAACAAUAAAUAAAAUGAAGCAUUUUUCAACAUCA